CACGGGGGGAGCAAGCGUUGUUCGGAAUCACUGGGCGUAAAGGGCGUGUAGGCGGUCAAGUAAGUGGAAUGUGAAAGCCCCCGGCUUACCCGGGGAUCUGCAUCCCAAACUGCUUGGCUUGAGUACGGGAGAGGAUAGGGGAAUUCCUGGUGUAGCGGUGAAAUGCGUAGAUAUCAGGAGGAACACCAACGGCGAAGGCAGCUCGCUGGGACGGUACUGACGCUGAGGCGCGAAAGCGUGGGGAGCGAACAGG
rnacentral:rRNA from 1 species